rnacentral:rRNA from 1 species
UACGUAGGGGGCAAGCGUUGUCCGGAAUUAUUGGGCGUAAAGCGCGCGCAGGCGGUUAUUUAAGUCUUAUGUUUAAACCUGGGGCUCAACCUCGGGACGCAUGGGAAACUGGGUAACUUGAGUGUAGGAGAGGAAAGUGGAAUUCCACGUGUAGCGGUGAAAUGCGUAGAGAUCCGGAGGAACACCGGUGGCGAAGGCGACCUGCUGGGCCGACCCUGACGCUGAGGCGCGAAAGCGUGGGGAGCGAACCGG